rnacentral:rRNA from 1 species
UACAACAUAACGUUAAUGCACAGGAUCCCAUUAUAACUCUGUAGGUAAGCACAAUCAGGCUAGAGUAGUACUGGGAUGGUAGUACUGGGAUGCGUGACCGCCUGGGAAGUCUAGUGUUUUAC